UGGGGAAUUUUGGACAAUGGGCGAAAGCCUGAUCCAGCAAUGCCGCGUGUGUGAAGAAGGCCUUCGGGUUGUAAAGCACUUUUGUCCGGAAAGAAAUGGCUCUGGUUAAUACCUGGGUCGAUGACGGUACCGGAAGAAUAAGGACCGGCUAACUACGUGCCAGCAGCCGCGGUAAUACGUAGGGUCCAAGCGUUAAUCGGAAUUACUGGGCGUAAAGCGUGCGCAGGCGGUUGUGCAAGACCGAUGUGAAAUCCCCGAGCUUAACUUGGGAAUUGCAUUGGUGACUGCACGGCUAGAGUGUGUCAGAGGGGGUAGAAUUCCACGUGUAGCAGUGAAAUGCGUAGAGAUGUGGAGGAAUACCGAUGGCGAAGGCAGCCCCCUGGGAUAACACUGACAGCUCAUGCACGAAAGCGUGGGGAGCAAACAGGAUUAGAUACCCUGGUAGUCCACGCCCUAAACGAUGUCAA
rnacentral:rRNA from 1 species